UACGUAGGGUGCAAGCGUUAAUCGGAAUUACUGGGCGUAAAGCGUACGCAGGCGGCCAUGUAAGACAGGUGUGAAAUCCCCGGGCUCAACCUGGGAACUGCACUUGUGACUGCAUGGCUAGAGUUUGUCAGAGGGGGGUGGAAUUCCACGUGUAGCAGUGAAAUGCGUAGAGAUGUGGAGGAACACCGAUGGCGAAGGCAGCCCCCUGGGAUGUGACUGACGCUCAUGUACGAAAGCGUGGGGAGCAAAC
rnacentral:rRNA from 1 species